UGGUGUAUGAGAUGAUGAUACUGAAGAUGAUAGUGAUGCUGCUGGACCUGUCGAAUAUAGUGGUAUAGGAGAAUUAUUAGAUGAUUUACAUUAGGAUGCUUGUUCAAAUAUAUGCAUGAGUACUACUGCAUCUGAAAGUAAUUCUGAUCAUGAACGUAAUAUUCGGUUUAAGGUAGAAGGGACUUUUGAAUAGUUUACAAAGUCUGUAAGGGAUGCAUGAGAGCCAC
rnacentral:lncRNA from 1 species